GCUUAAAGAGCCAUUUCGGUGGAUUUAUCCUUGCAAUAACAUGCAAUCAGCUCCAGUCAGUUAUGGUGCCGUCUCUGUCAGGGACCACGAUGGUCCCUCUCUGCUCGUCACGGGGAGGUGCUGCAGGCCUCUUAUCGUGCGCGCUGACUUACAAAUGGUUGCCACUGCUGUCAUCAAUUCCACAGCGUGUCCCCCAGCUCCAGCGUAGAGAUAUAAAGGCACGGAAAAGGGAAGCGGGACAGGGGAAGAGAGUCGAGAACAGGCCUCAAAUAUGGAAGCUGUCCGCUUGUUGCUAGCUGUGGCUGUGUUGUCAGCUAGCCUGAGGCCAGGCCAAGGCCUGGAGGAGCCCCUCAGCUCAAAGGAGGCCUUAGUUGAAGAGGCCAACGGAUAUCCAGAGAAGCUCAUAGACUGGAUGCAAGAAGUUGAAGACCAGAAUCCACCAGAGGAGCAUCCUUUGGGUGUCCUGCUCCGCUCCCUGCUCCAUGCGGUUCAGAGACCAGGACGCAGCCCAUCCUUCCUGUUCCAGCCCCAAAGAUUUGGCCGGAAUGCCAGGGGUACUUCCAGUAGCAGUGUCCGAGUCAACCCACGGGCUUGGGAUUCGAUGGCCCCUCAGUUUCUCAGCAUGGCUACUCCACAGCGUUUCGGCAAGAAAAAAUAAAUCCGGAAGAAACAGCACAAAGCCCACCAUGAACUCGUGUCGACUAGAUUCUGCCAAAAUGAGUUAACACAUCUCUCUCUCUGUUUUCCCUGUUUGUGUCUCAUUGCAGUGAUCUGUGACUGCAUUUCUUGUCUGGGGAGAUUACACUUUGCUGUUUGUUAAUAAUAAAAGGCCAUUUCAUCUUGGAAAAUAC
rnacentral:lncRNA from 1 species